UUGUGCCUGCACCCAGCUCUGUUUCUUAUUCUUGGCUUCUGCCUCACCCCUGUCUUUGCUCCUGUUCCAACUGUGCUCCUGCUCUGUGCUUGAUCCUUGCCUCUCCUCCAGCUCCUGAUUUUAUGCCUUACUUCCAAACAUCAAUUACCAGUCAUGGCUCCAAUCCCUGACUCUUGGCUCUGGCAUUUGGUAUCUUCCCUUGGCUCUUGACCCUCAGCUUUGAUUCCUGGUUCUGACUUUGGCUUGAUCCUUGACUCUGGGUUGAUGUUUGGCUUCAUUCCCCAACCUGGAUGCCUGCUGUGCCCACUAGACCUGACUCCUGCUCUGACUCUAGGCCAUACUGCCUAUAUCCUGGUCCAUAACACCGAGUUAGACUCUCAGCUACACCAAGCUCAUGCUUGGCACAGAUUCGGGCUAGGGGAAAGGUGAUCGGAAUCUAUUUUUACUCCUUUCUUGACCCUGGACAGAACAAAUUAGAAUAGCUAGCCAGGCUGCACUGGCCCCCUCAGGAUUGUUCCACCCAUCAGUUUAGAAUGUCUGGAGUGUGGCAGACCCCUUCCAUGUCCCUCCCUGUCCCAGAAUGCCCUCUACACCAAAAGGAAUAGGAAGGCAUGUAAAUCAGCUUUGGAAUGAAGGCUACUUUAAAUUCUCUUUGAGUCAUUGGAGUAGAGAAGAGGGGACAAACCUAGGAUCCAGGAACUGGCCCAACAGAAUUACACUGCUGCAAAAAGAUCAAAAACAGACUGGCAGUGUGAGAGGACAUGCAAUGUUUAUUGGGCUGACCUAUCCAGAAUCAUAUCUUUCACAGCUAUGAUCAGUCUGUAAGAAAUGUGACUGAAUAUAUAUGUCCAGCACCUUUUUUUAUUUUAAAUGUGGUAGAAAAAAAUACUGACUCAAAGGUGAAAUGUUGUAAAAUGCCCUUAAGAUAAAAUUUUGAACUUAAUACAUCAGCAGGAUAUACUUUUCCCACAGUUAUCAAACCAAGACAUUAUUCAUCCAUGUUACAGUCUUCAGGGAUGAUAAAAGCUAAUCCAAAAGCAAUAGGUUUUGGUGGUGUUACCUGAAUCUUUCUAAAUGCAUCAAAAUCUGCUGUUGUGCUCUUACAUCUCAAGUGUAGCUUUUUGCAAGAUUGUUGUUGUUGUUUGUUGUCAUUUUGGACAUAGAUUUUAUUCUAUGUUACCGAUUAUCAUUUGCUCCCCAAGUCCCAGAAAGACAGACUUCUUAGAUAUAGCUAGGAAGUCUGCUAUUGCAAAUCAUAGUAUCUGCAAAGGCACAGCUGCACUGAAACUCAAAAAAUAGUGCUAGCCUUACUCCAUGUGAGAGCAGGACCCUCCAAUUAAUUUAAUUGCUGCUACCUGUGUGUGAUUAACACAAUCUCACACUGCUCCUACAGUGUGGACUGGCAGCCAGAGCAGAAUCCUGUGUCUUGUCAUGGUAAGAAGACUCUCAGGAGACAGAGGAAAUGGUACAAGGACACUCUGGAAAUAUAUCUUAAGAUGGGAGGCAUUGACCAUACAAAUUGGGAAGAGCUGGUGGGCAAUAGACUGCAAUGGUGUCACAUCAUACAUCAAGCCUCAGUCCAUUUUGAAGAGAAUCACCUUGCUCAAGAGGCUGAGAAAUGACAGAGGAGGAAGGAAAGUGUACAGCAUCCCGGCUAGCAGUUGUGCUCUCCCCAAGCAAUUACCUGUCACAUAUGUGGAAAAACCUGAAGAGCAUGGAUUGGACUCCUCAGCCAUCUUAAGUCUCAUCAAUGACUUGUUUCCUCCUAUAUCAAGGAAUAGCUGCCAGCGGCAGCAGCUUUGAGAGCCAGUGAUGUAAAGCUCUAUAAGCAUUUACAUAAGGUGUUAUUGAUUAUCAUUAAUACAUAUCCAUAACAUAUUAUCAGAAAAAGUUUUAUGUAUAAAUAUGUGGGAUCUGUCUCCUAGAUUUGAAAUAAUUCUUAGCAUUUCUUAAAUAUUUAAACUAGCAAUGUGAGGCUAGCAUUGAUGUUUUACAUCACUGACUGACUGUUGCUGUAUUAAAAGCCAUAGCAUAUGCAAGUGGAUAUCCCUUCAUGUACAAUCUUUAUAGUUAUUUAGUGAAUUUAAACAGACCAAAUACUAUGAAGUCAAUGAGACUUUGUGUGUUUAACUGAUGCCACGUUUGGCCCAAUGUACACCACUGAGGGAAGAUGGGUUAUUUUUUCAGGAUUUCAUUAUUCCUUGUAUUAAUACAAAUUUCUUUCUAGCUAAGCCAGCUGACUUUUACAAGGCUAAGACAAAUAAUAAAACCUGACUUCUGCCAUAGAGAAUCAAAUCCCCUACUUGCAAAUGUAAAUGUUGCCAGGUGCACAGAUCCCUUGUCCUAAUAAAUAAUUAGAAAACAUGAUUAAUAAGAGGCCUAGAUGUCUAGUGAUUCAGAGUGUUUUUAUAAGGAAGGAAAUGUGUUAACAUUGAGAGGAGAAUGUUAGGUUUGCUUUGCAGAGGCUGGCUUUUCAAGGGGGGCUAGGAAAGAAAGAGAUUCACUCCUUGUGAAAUUCAUACUGUAGGCAUACAGGAAUGAUAUGUCUGGGGGAGAAAAAGAAAUGAAGACAGAUUAAAGAUAGAGCAGAAAAGGAGA